AGUCGAACGGGCUUGGGGGCUUGCUCCCGGGUUAGUGGCGAACGGGUGAGUAAUAUAUCGGAACAUAUCCGGAAGUGGGGGAUAACGUAGCGAAAGUUACGCUAAUACCGCAUAUGCCCUGAGGGGGAAAGGGGGGGAUCGCAAGACCUCUCGCUUUCGGAGUGGCCGAUACCGGAUUAGCUAGAUGGUGAGGUAAAGGCUCACCAUGGCGACGAUCCGUAGCUGGUCUGAGAGGACGACCAGCCACACUGGAACUGAGACACGGUCCAGACUCCUACGGGAGGCAGCAGUGGGGAAUUUUGGACAAUGGGUGAAAGCCUGAUCCAGCCAUACCGCGUGAGUGAAGAAGGCCUUCGGGUUGUAAAGCUCUUUCAGCCGGAAAGAAAUCCUGCUUACUAAUACUAAGUGGGGAUGACGGUACCGGAAGAAGAAGCACCGGCUAACUACGUGCCAGCAGCCGCGGUAAUACGUAGGGUGCGAGCGUUAAUCGGAAUUACUGGGCGUAAAGCGUGCGCAGGCGGUUUUAUAAGCCAGAUGUGAAAUCCCCGGGCUUAACCUGGGAACUGCAUUUGGAACUGUAAGACUAGAGUGUAGCAGAGGGGGGUAGAAUUCCACGUGUAGCAGUGAAAUGCGUAGAGAUGUGGAGGAAUACCGAUGGCGAAGGCAGCCCCCUGGGCUAACACUGACGCUCAUGCACGAAAGCGUGGGGAGCAAACAGGAUUAGAUACCCUGGUAGUCCACGCCCUAACGAUGUCAACUAAGGUGUUGGGGAAGGA
rnacentral:rRNA from 1 species